GAAUCUAUCUAAACGCGUUUUAUCCCGGAGUUUUCUCCUACACUAGUCUCACAUUCAGAUCUUUCACAGACCUGUUUACCCAAGUGGAUCACACUAGGUGAAUAAUUGAUGUAUUCUGUAUGUCAGGAAAAGAAAGACACAGAUAAUGAAAUUCACCCUCAAAUACAGUUUAGGUACAUAUAGGUAUAUAUGUCUGUGCAUAUAUUACAGCAGUGUUAUACAGGGGGUUUUCAAAAGAUUCAAAGUUCUCAUUGCUUAAUUGCAUAUUUUAUUUUUUUAUAUAUUUAUAUUCAACUCACAUGUAGCUGAAAGGCUCUUAAGGAGCUUAAGGAAGCAUAUUUAUAACAGUUGCCUUUUAGAAAUAGGGGAGAAAAACUUUUCUGUGUGUAGAAAGUUAUGCUUGUAGUAUUUAGUCAUCUCUGACCUGAAACCAUAAAUAUUUUGGUUUUCUAAAAACUCCGUUAUUCAGUGGCUUUUGCCAGAAUCUUGUCAGAACUAUAGGAGUUUAUAAUUUUAUUUUGAAAUGAUAGUUCCUAGCAGCAUAGGGAUCCAGCUGUAUUAAAUUUUUGGUCAGUUGGACACUGGUGUUUCACUGCUUGGCCACACUCUUUGUGUACUAAGAUAUAAGAGAGAAAGAUUUCGGUAGUCAAAAGAGGCAAAAGGAGUUAGUGGCUGUUCAGUGAGAAGGAGAUGGAAACACGGCGUAAAUAAAUAUAAACUGCUGCUCCGCAAGUGUUUGCAGGUCAUCUUUGGCUUAUGCUGUUUUUCUUGAACCUCCUGUACUGAGCAUUGCAUAACCCCUGUUGCCAAGAAAAGAUCCAGUUGCACUUUAUUUGAAUAAUAGAGCUAAGUGGAUUAUGGAAAAACUGCGUACACGAAUUGUGUUGAGGUGGUCCAAACAGCUAUUUAUAGGGCCCUUAAACACCAAAACUGGCACACCAAAUGUUGAGAAAAUCCAAAAUGAUGUAAUUUUUCCAAUCAGGCUUUUAAAAAGCAUAUAAUGAGAUAUUUAAAUAUUGUGAUGCAGAAGUUUUCUAAAAUCUGUCAAGCAUUAUGUUUUGGUUAUUAACACUUGUUUUUCUACAGGCCAAUGAAAUGGAAAGUUGUAUAAACUAGCUAGAUAUUGUAUCCUGCAUUACUUAAAAUUAUUUCUUUGAUACACCUAGAAAUUUAACAUGCAUGCUGCCCUAAAGACAUCCUCCUUCUGCAACAUGAAAUACAAUGUACACGUGUUUCCUUCUCCACUUCAAAGCUCUUGAACCUCUUUGCAACAUAGAAUGAAGGUCCCGUGCAUGUCUGACAUGGCUCUUAGCGCAGGGAAUGAUUUCAGCUUCUCCCAGGCAGAGGCUCCUCCUACGGUACACAAAGGCUGUUUGUGUAGAGUAUUAUGUGAUGCAAGAGCUAAGCUUUUAUAUUUUAUGUGCCUGGGGAAAUGGCAGAGAUUUUAGGGAAAGGAUUGUCCCAAGGAGCAUCUCACUCUCUGCUGAAACUCUGUCCUAGUCAGUAGUCUCAUUUCUCCCUUCCAGCCCAGUAUCAUCAUUCCCAGCUCACUCCUCCUUCUAUUUAGGGCUGAUGCCAUUUCAUUUAACAUUUAUAAGGACAACCUUUUAGGCCUCUCUGCGCCUUCAUGAUUUCCUGAAAUGUAGUAAAGGUCAUAGCAGCCAGACCGUUGUCCCAAGGUGGGCUAGCCUAAAGCUCACAGCCUGCUUGCAGAUUCUGGUCCAGUAAGGACUGAUAACUGCAAAGACUGAUUGAAGCAGAUUAUUUGGGAUGCUGUUCUGGGCUGCCCUAUCUCCACUUCCAUUUAUCCUGGGAAAGAUUCAAGAAUGGGGAGCUGAGUGGCUUUUUUUUUUUUUUUUGUUGAUUCAACUUUGAAAAAAUCUGCCUGCUUUUCUAUGCUUCUCAUUUGGGGGAAUAACACGGACAGCUUUUAACUUAGAAGCAUCACCUGUCAGCAUAUUCCUUUUUCACAUGUUGGAGCCUAAGUUUGUGAGACUUUUGCUCUGUUAUUUCAGGAGACUGGUGCAAACUUGCACAAAAAUGCUUUUUGAACAACGUAAUGUAAAAUGACACUAGCAGCUAUACAUUACAUCUUUUAUACAUCUGUACUCUCCAAGCACUCCUAGCACUAAUAAAAUGUUUCUGGGUGGAGUUAGCAGUAGUAUCUAAUUGAGUAAGAAACAAGUUUAUUCUGUUGUCCACGUAUGGAAGCUUCCUAACCUCUUGAUUUCCUUUUGAAUUUCUUGAUUUAUUCCUGCCAGUGUUUGUUUUAAAACAGAAGUUCUCAGCAUGUGUCUUGCCCAGUGACAUUAGGAAAUUUCUUGGCUGAGGCUUUCUGCAAGUGGAUCAAAGUAAUUGGGGAUCUUGCUGUGAGCCAGCAUCAAGAGCUGACCUUCUUUGAAAAGCAGGUUGACUACUCAUAAUCAGUGCAGGCAGGAUAUCUAGAAGAGCUGCACCAACUCUACCAGGUAACAAAUAAAUGAAAUGUCUCAUUAUUGAUUUUUUUAGUCUGAGGUUUGGUUUGUUUUUGU